rnacentral:misc_RNA from 1 species
UACGAAGGGGGCUAGCGUUGUUCGGAAUUACUGGGCGUAAAGCGCGCGCAGGCGGUUUUCCAAGUCAGUGGUGAAAGCCCGGAGCUCAACUCCGGAAUUGCCAUUGAAACUGGUUGACUUGAGGACGAGAGAGGUGAGUGGAAUUCCCAGUGUAGAGGUGAAAUUCGUAGAUAUUGGGAAGAACACCGGUGGCGAAGGCGGCUCACUGGCUCGUUUCUGACGCUCAGGCGCGACAGCGUGGGGAUCAAACAGG